rnacentral:hammerhead_ribozyme from 1 species
AUCCAGUCCCAAACAGGACGAAACACGCGUCCUGGAU